GAUGAACGCUGGCAGCGUGCCUAAUACAUGCAAGUCGAGCGAACAGACGAGGAGCUUGCUCCUCUGACGUUAGCGGCGGACGGGUGAGUAACACGUGGAUAACCUACCUAUAAGACUGGGAUAACUUCGGGAAACCGGAGCUAAUACCGGAUAAUAUAUUGAACCGCAUGGUUCAAUAGUGAAAGACGGUUUUGCUGUCACUUAUAGAUGGGUCCGCGCCGCAUUAGCUAGUUGGUAAGGUAACGGCUUACCAAGGCGACGAUGCGUAGCCGACCUGAGAGGGUGAUCGGCCACACUGGAACUGAGACACGGUCCAGACUCCUACGGGAGGCAGCAGUAGGGAAUCUUCCGCAAUGGGCGAAAGCCUGACGGAGCAACGCCGCGUGAGUGAUGAAGGUCUUCGGAUCGUAAAACUCUGUUAUUAGGGAAGAACAAAUGUGUAAGUAACUAUGCACGUCUUGACGGUACCUAAUCAGAAAGCCACGGCUAACUACGUG
rnacentral:rRNA from 1 species